rnacentral:rRNA from 1 species
UGGGGAAUAUUGGACAAUGGGCGCAAGCCUGAUCCAGCCAUGCCGCGUGAGUGAUGAAGGCCUUAGGGUUGUAAAGCUCUUUCACCGGAGAAGAUAAUGACGGUAUCCGGAGAAGAAGCCCCGGCUAACUUCGUGCCAGCAGCCGCGGUAAUACGAAGGGGGCUAGCGUUGUUCGGAAUUACUGGGCGUAAAGCGCACGUAGGCGGAUCGAUCAGUCAGGGGUGAAAUCCCAGGGCUUAACCCUGGAACUGCCUUUGAUACUGUCGAUCUAGAGUAUGGAAGAGGUGAGUGGAAUUCCGAGUGUAGAGGUGAAAUUCGUAGAUAUUCGGAGGAACACCAGUGGCGAAGGCGGCUCACUGGUCCAUUACUGACGCUGAGGUGCGAAAGCGUGGGGAGCAAACAGG